rnacentral:lncRNA from 13 species
ACUAUAACGAGAGAUGAGAACGACUGCAGUUGUGGAGAAAAAGUAGAAGACACAAGGAUGAUAUUGAAAGAAAGGUAUCACUUUAAUUCUGGUCCAUUGAUGCAACAAGCACGCAAC